CAAUAGCGUAUAUUAAAGUUGUUGCAGUUAAAAAGCUCGUAGUUGGAUUUCUGGUGGGAGCGAUCGGUCUGGCGCUUAGCGCGAGUACUUGCAUCGUCUCCGGCCAUCCUUGGGGAGAGUCUGUCUGGCAUUAGGUUGUCGGGCUGAGGAUCCUCAUCGUUUACUGUGAAAAAAUUAGAGUGUUCAAAGCAGGCUUAUGCCGUUGAAUAUAUUAGCAUGGAAUAAUAAGAUAGGACUUUGGUACUAUUUUGUUGGUUUGCGCACCAAAGUAAUGAUUAAUAGGGACAGUUGGGGGUAUUCGUAUUCCGUUGUCAGAGGUGAAAUUCUUGGAUUUACGGAAGACGAACUACUGCGAAAGCAUUUACCAAGGAUGUUUUCAUUAA
rnacentral:rRNA from 1 species